GACGUAGGGUGCGAGCGUUGUCCGGAGUUACUGGGCGUAAAGGGCGCGUAGGCGGUUGUCCGCGUCGCACGUGAAAGCCCCCGGCUCAACCGGGGAGGGUCGUGCGAAACGGGAUGACUGGAGGCAGGGAGAGGCUGGUGGAAUUCCACGUGUAGCGGUGAAAUGCGUAGAGAUGUGGAGGAACACCAGUGGCGAAGGCGACUCUUUGGCCUAUAACUGACGCUGAGGCGCGAAAGCGUGGGGAGCAAACAGG
rnacentral:rRNA from 1 species